rnacentral:rRNA from 1 species
ACGGGAGGCAGCAGUGGGGAAUAUUGGACAAUGGAGGCAACUCUGAUCCAGCGACGCCGCGUGAGUGAAGAAGUAUUUCGGUAUGUAAAGCUCUAUCAGCAGGGAAGAUGAUGACGGUACCUGACUAAGAAGCCCCGGCUAACUACGUGCCAGCAGCCGCGGUAAUACGUAGGGGGCAAGCGUUAUCCGGAUUUACUGGGUGUAAAGGGAGUGUAGGCGGCUGCGCAAGUCAGAAGUGAAAGCCCGGGGCUUAACCCCGGGACUGCUUUUGAAACUGCGUAGCUAGAGUGCAGGAGAGGCAAGCGGAAUUCCUAGUGUAGCGGUGAAAUGCGUAGAUAUUAGGAAGAACACCGGUGGCGAAGGCGGCUUGCUGGACUGAGACUGACGCUGAGGCUCGAAAGCGUGGGGAGCAAACAGGAUUAGAUACGGUA